GACGAACGCUGGCGGCGUGCCUAAUACAUGCAAGUCGAACGCUGAAGCGAGGAGCUUGCUCUUCUUGGAUGAGUUGCGAACGGGUGAGUAACGCGUAGGUAACCUGCCUUGUAGCGGGGGAUAACUAUUGGAAACGAUAGCUAAUACCGCAUAACAAUGGCUGACACAUGUCAUUUAUUUGAAAGGGGCAAUUGCUCCACUACAAGAUGGACCUGCGUUGUAUUAGCUAGUAGGUGAGGUAAUGGCUCACCUAGGCGACGAUACAUAGCCGACCUGAGAGGGUGAUCGGCCACACUGGGACUGAGACACGGCCCAGACUCCUACGGGAGGCAGCAGGAGGGAAUCUUCGGCAAUGGGGGCAACGCUGACCGAGCAACGCCGCGGGAGGGAAGAAGGGUUUCGGAUCGGAAAGCUCGGUUGUAAGUCAAGAACGGGUGUGAGAGUGGAAAGUUCACACUGUGACGGUAGCUUACCAGAAAGGGACGGCUAACUACGUG
rnacentral:rRNA from 1 species